UCGAGUUUGAUCUGGCUCAGGAUGAACGCUAGCUACAGGCUUAACACAUGCAAGUCGAGGGGCAGCAUGAACUUAGCUUGCUAAGUUUGAUGGCGACCGGCGCACGGGUGAGUAACACGUAUCCAACCUGCCGAUGACUCGGGGAUAGCCUUUCGAAAGAAAGAUUAAUACCCGAUGGCAUAGUUCUUCCGCAUGGUAGAACUAUUAAAGAAUUUCGGUCAUCGAUGGGGAUGCGUUCCAUUAGGUUGUUGGG
rnacentral:rRNA from 1 species